CGUGUAGGCGGUCAGGUAAGUGGAAUGUGAAAUGCCCCGGCUCACCCGGGGACCGGCAUCCCAAACUGCCUGGCUUGAGUAUGGGAGAGGAUGGAGGAAUUCCUGGUGUAGCGGUGAAAUGCGUAGAUAUCAGGAGGAACACCGGUGGCGAAGGCGUCCAUCUGGCCCAAUACUGACGCUGAGGCACGAAAGCUAGGGGAGCAAACG
rnacentral:rRNA from 1 species